AUUGAACGCUAGCGGGAUGCCUUACACAUGCAAGUCGAACGGAGUGGCGAACGGGUGAGUAAUGUAUAGGAACGGGCCCAGUAGCGGGGGCUAACUAAGCGAAAGCGUAGCUAAUACAGCAUACUAUUUGAACGGACGAUAUCGGGGUAGCUGGUUGGUGGGGUAACGGCUCACCAAGGCGACGAUCCUUAUCUGGUUUGAGAGGACGACCAGCCACACUGGGAGUAGGCCACGGCCCAGACUCCGACGGGAGGCAGCAGUGGGGAAUUUUGGACAAGGGGGGAAACCCUGAUCCAGCCAUCCCGCGUGUGCGAUGAAGGCCUUCGGGUUGUAAAGCACUUUUGGCAGGAAAGCGGUACCUGCAGAAUAAGCACCGGCUAACUACGUGCCAGCAGCCGCGGUAAUAC
rnacentral:rRNA from 1 species